rnacentral:rRNA from 1 species
UUGGCGGCGUGGAUUAGGCAUGCAAGUCGGACGUCCCUUUCGGGGGACGUGGCGCAAGGGUGAGUAAGGCGACGGCAACCCACCCCCCGGACGGCCAUAACCGCGGGAAACCGCGGCUAAUAGCCGGCGGCGUCGGGUGUCGGCAUCGACGCCCGAUCAAAGGGUGCGAUUCCGCCGGGGGACGGGCCGUCGGGUAUCAGCUUGUUGGCGGGGUAACGGCCCACCAAGGCUGCGACGCCUACCGGGCGUGCUAGCGUGGCCCGGCACACUG